rnacentral:misc_RNA from 1 species
GAUGAAGAACGUAGCGAAAUGCGAUAAGUAGUGUGAAUUGCAGAAUUCAGUGAAUCAUCGAAUCUUUGAACGCACAUUGCGCCUUCUAGUAUUCUGGGAGGCAUGCCUGUUUGAGCGUCAUUAAACCUCUCUCAAGUAUGAUUACUUGGAUGUGAAGGAAGAGUACCUUAAACUUAAGGAGUGUUCUCCUUUGAAAUUGAUUAGCAGAUGGUAAUGUUAUUAAAUCCCUGAUGUUGUAGGAAAUAACAGUGGUUUUGUAGACUAUUAUCUAGCUUUAAAUUAUAAUUUUUAUUAUGGUUGACCUCAAAUCAGGUAAGGAUACCCGCUGAACUUAAGCAUAUCAAUAAGCGGAGGA